GAUGAACGCUGGCGGCGUGCCUAAUACAUGCCAGUCGAGCGAACAGAUGAGGAGCUUGCUCCUCUGACGUUGGCGGCGGACGGGUGAGUAACACGUGGAUAACCUACCUAUAAGACUGGGAUAACUUCGGGAAACCGGAGCUAAUACCGGAUAAUAUAUUGAACCGCAUGGUUCAAUAGUGAAAGACGGUUUUGCUGUCACUUAUAGAUGGAUCCGCGCCGCAUUAGCUAGUUGGUAAGGUAACGGCUUACCAAGGCAACGAUGCGUAGCCGACCUGAGAGGGUGAUCGGCCACACUGGAACUGAGACACGGUCCAGACUCCUACGGGAGGCAGCAGUAGGGAAUCUACCGCAAUGGGCGAAAGCCUGACGGAGCAACGCCGCGUGAGUGAUGAAGGUCUUCGGAUCGUAAAACUCUGUUAUUAGGGAAGAACAAAUGUGUAAGUAACUAUGCACGUCUUGACGGUACCUAAUCAGAAAGCCACGGCUAACUACGUG
rnacentral:rRNA from 1 species